CCUUGGAAGGUAUAACCACCGAGACGACGCCCGUGAAUCAAAUGUUGUGUGAUGUAUGAGAUGCUUGUGUUCGCACCGUGUCCGUUUUGUCACUCAUUUUCCUUGCCACCGAUACGUGGGAAACCCGGUAUCCGGGAUCACUCCCCGUACCUCUUUCACAUUCCACACAUCUCACAUUUGUUUCUUGCACCGACAUCUCAACUAGUUGUCGGAUCACCGGAAUGUUGCCGUGGCACCAUUUCCGUUGUAGUUGCCGUGGCACCCCUUUUGUUCCGCCAUGACGACCAAAUGCUUCAUAAUGCUCAUGUCAACUCUUAAUAAAAAUUGCAUAAAACUUGUUCAUGUCAUCCGCAUCAUGAUAACAACAAUUAAAAUUUUUAAAAUUGUUGUUGCACCAGAUUGAUAAAUGCAUGUGGGGAUCUACCGGAAUUAUUGUUUGUUAUUCCGGCCUCAUUUAAACUUGCCUAAUUAGAUAGUUUUAUUAUGAUUCUCUUGCCAUGUUUAACAACAUUUAAUAUUGUUGGGUACAUAAACGAGAUCGAACUAAAUAAUUGAUGUGGUGUUCCGUCAAUAUGCAACUCGUUGCAUAUUGAGCUCCACUUAAUUUGUAGAUUAUUUGUGCAUUUUGCCAUGCCAUGCCUAUUUAAAUCGGACAUGCAUCAUUUGUUUGUGCAUCGUGCCAUGAUUAUGUGGUGGUUGUUUACUAUGUUGUGUGCUUCUUUUCCGGUGAUUGCUUCUUCGUGUUGGAUCCGGUAACGUCGUGUGUGUGAGGACCCGUUCGUCUGCGUCCGUUUGUCUUCUUCAUGGACUCGUUCUUCUUCCUUGCGGGAUUUCAGGCAAGAUGAUCAUACCCUCGAAAUCACUACUAUCUUUGCUAUGCUAGUUUGCUCGCUCUUGCUAUGCCAAUGCUACGAUGCCUACCUUUUGCUUGUCAGCCUCCCAAUUGCCAUGUCAAACCUCUAACCCACCUUGUCCUAGCAAACCGUUGAUUGGCUAUGUUACCGCUUUGCUCAGCCCCUCUUAUAGCGUUGUUAGUUGCAGGUGAAGAUUGAAGUUUGUUCCUUGUUGGAACAUGGAGAUGUUGUUCCUUGUUGGAACAUUGUUUACUUGUUGGGAUAUCACUAUAUAUCUUAUUUAAUUAAUGCAUCUAUAUACUUGGUAAAGGGUGGAAGGCUCGGCCCUAUGCCUGGUGUUUUGUUCCACUCUUGCCGCCCUAGUUUCCGUCAUAUCGGUGUUAUGUUCCCGGAUUUUGCGUUCCUUACGCGGUUGGGCUAUAAUGGGAACCCCUUGACAUUUCGCCUUAAGUAAAGCUCUUCCAGCAAUGCCCAACAUUGGUUUUACCAUUCGCCACCUAGCCUCUUUUUCCCUUGGGUUUCGCGGACUCAAGGGUCAUCAUUAUUUUACCCCCCCGGGCCAGUGCUCCUCUGAGUGUUGGUCCACCUGUCAGCUGCCGGUGGCCACCAGGGGCAACUCUGGGCUGGCCUACCCGUACCUAAGACAAUCUGAGUGUGCCCUGAGAAAGAGAUAUGUGCAGCUCCUAUCGGGAUUUGUCGGCACAUUCGGGCGGUGUUGCUGGUUUAGUUUUACCCUGUCGAAAUGUCUUGUUGUACCGGGAUACCGAGUCUGAUCGGAACGUCUCGGGAGGAGGUCUAUUCCUUCGUUGACCGUGAGAGCUUGUGAUGGGCUAAGUUGGGACACCCUGCAGGGAUUUGAACUUUCGAAAGCCGUGCCCGCGGUUAUGGGCAGAUGGGAAUUUGUUAACGUCCGGUUGUAGAAAACCUGAAGUUGACCGUAAUUAAAAUGAAUCAACCGCGUGUGUAACCGUGAUGGUCUCUUUCCGGCGGGGUCCGGGAAGUGAACACGGUUGUUGGAGUUAUGCUUGACGUAGGUAGUCUAGGAUCACUUCUUGAUCAUACUUUUAUCGAUCGUGCUUUGCCUUCUCUUCUCGCUCUCAUUUGCGUAUGUUAGCCACCAUAUAUGCUAGUCGCUUGCUGCAGCUCCACCUCAUACCUUUACCUUACCCAUAAGCUUAAAUAGUCUUGAUCGCGAGGGUGCGAGAUUGCUGAGUCCCUGUGGCUCACAGAUACUUCCAAAACCAGCUUGCAGGUGCCGAUAAGUCCGUGCAGAUGACGCAACCAAGCUCAGGAGGAGCGCGAUGAAGAUCUUGUCCUUUGUAUGGUUUCGUUCUAGUUGAUCAGUAGUGGAGCCCAGUUGGGGUCGAUCGGGGACCUUUGUCGCAUUUGGGGGUUCUUCUUUCAUUUUGGUUCCGUAGUCGGACCAUGAGUGUAUUUGAUUGAUGUAAUGUUUAUUCCUGUAAUUGUGUGAAGUGGCGAUUGUAAGCCAACUAUGUAUCUCUUUCCCUUGUUUAUUACAUGGAUUGUGUGAAG
rnacentral:lncRNA from 1 species